GCCUAACACAUGCAAGUCGAACGGCAGCACGGGAGCAAUCCUGGUGGCGAGUGGCGAACGGGUGAGUAAUAUAUCGGAACGUGCCCAGUCGUGGGGGAUAACGCAGCGAAAGCUGUGCUAAUACCGCAUACGAUCUCUGGAUGAAAGCGGGGGACUCGCAAGAGCCUCGCGCGAUUGGAGCGGCCGAUAUCAGAUUAGCUAGUUGGUGGGGUAAAAGCUCACCAAGGCGACGAUCUGUAGCUGGUCUGAGAGGACGACCAGCCACACUGGAACUGAGACACGGUCCAGACUCCUACGGGAGGCAGCAGUGGGGAAUUUUGGACAAUGGGCGCAAGCCUGAUCCAGCAAUGCCGCGUGCAGGAUGAAGGCCUUCGGGUUGUAAACUGCUUUUGUACGGAACGAAACGGCUCUUUCUAAUAAAGAGAGCUAAUGACGGUACCGUAAGAAUAAGCACCGGCUAACUACGUGCCAGCAGCCGCGGUA
rnacentral:rRNA from 1 species